GACGAACGCUGGCGGCGUGCUUAACACAUGCCAGUCGAACGGAAAGGCCCUGCUUUUGUGGGGUGCUCGAGUGGCGAACGGGUGAGUAACACGUGAGUAACCUGCCCUUGACUUUGGGAUAACUUCAGGAAACUGGGGCUAAUACCGGAUAGGAGCUCCUGCUGCAUGGUGGGGGUUGGAAAGUUUCGGCGGUUGGGGAUGGACUCGCGGCUUAUCAGCUUGUUGGUGGGGUAGUGGCUUACCAAGGCUUUGACGGGUAGCCGGCCUGAGAGGGUGACCGGCCACAUUGGGACUGGGAUACGGCCCAGACUCCUACGGGAGGCAGCAGUGGGGAAUAUUGCACAAUGGGCGGAAGCCUGAUGCAGCAACGCCGCGUGCGGGAUGACGGCCUUCGGGUUGUAAACCGCUUUCGCCUGUGACGAAGCGUGAGUGACGGUAAUGGGCAAAGAAGCACCGGCUAACUACGUG
rnacentral:rRNA from 1 species